GUUGACGGUAUUUAACCAGAAAGUCACGGCUAACUACGUGCCAGCAGCCGCGGUAAUACGUAGGUGGCAAGCGUUAUCCGGAUUUAUUGGGCGUAAAGAGAGUGCAGGCGGUUUUCUAAGUCUGAUGUGAAAGCCUUCGGCUUAACCGGAGAAGUGCAUCGGAAACUGGAUAACUUGAGUGCAGAAGAGGGUAGUGGAACUCCAUGUGUAGCGGUGGAAUGCGUAGAUAUAUGGAAGAACACCAGUGGCGAAGGCGGCUACCUGGUCUGCAACUGACGCUGAGACUCGAAAGCAUGGGUAGCGAACAGGAUUAGAUACCCUGGUAG
rnacentral:rRNA from 1 species